rnacentral:lncRNA from 1 species
CAGAGAUGAUCCUGACAACCAUCCCUGCUCCAGGCAGGUAAAUUGAUUUAAUGGUCAGGAAUGCAUUUGGUGGCCAGUCUUCCAGGGGGCCCAUGAAAGUUCAUUGAUAGGACUCCAAUAGGACAAGGGUGUAUCUGACAAAAUAAUGUUCAUAUUGUCCCUGGCACUCUGUGGGUGGAUCUCUGCCAUUUGGUAAGGAGUUUCACCUUUGGUAAUUGCAUACU